rnacentral:lncRNA from 1 species
AACGCACCUGGUAUGGAGCUGAUCUCGGACCGGAAGAAGCAGCACACCUGCAUUAUAGCGACUACAACCCCCGAGUCCUUCGAGACCCAUGGGUUCGACAUGCGCAACCACAAGAGCCAACAGAGGAGACACGGCCCGAGAGCCAAGAUCACCAGUGGACAAACCCGCCUUUUCAAACGGGCAGGUACUCCACUGAUCCAUAUGGAGCUUCAGGAUCCAGACCUCCACCCCAAUUUGAUGCAGGAUGAUACUCCGACGCCUCCUACGCUUUCACGAAUGACUACUACCAAGAGGCCGGUGCUUUCUUCACCCGUACUGACAAAACUCUCCUCGACAUACAGAACACGCAAGCAGAACAUGGACGACUCCUAGAAGAGCCACAAAAAUGGAACCAGGACCACGCCACUGCAGUACAAGAGUGAGACGAGAGGUAAAAAUGGACAAGUGUCCGGAGUAGAAUUAGGGGUACAAAGAUGCCCACUUGAGUGGAAAAAAUGGACAUGUGUCCGACAGUAGAAUUAGGGGUAUCUACUACCCACCUGAAAAAAAGAGAAAAGAAAAGAAAAAGAUAGCCCAUGUCCUCUCAAAGCAAAGAUCAAAGAAGAGGAGAAAUAGCAAUAUGAGGAGCAAUGAGAACUAAGUUUUAUUAUCACUUAUAUAUUUUCACCAUCACUAUCAUUUACUCCACACAAAUGCACAUCUUGAUUUAAUUAUAUGCUGAGUUCCUUUGGAUCCAUGGCUCGAUUAGACAAC